AAUAGAUACCCUGGUAGUCCACGCCGUAAACGAUGAGUGCUAAGUGUUAGAGGGUUUCCGCCCUUUAGUGCUGCAGCUAACGCAUUAAGCACUCCGCCUGGGGAGUACGGCCGCAAGGCUGAAACUCAAAGGAAUUGACGGGGGCCCGCACAAGCGGUGGAGCAUGUGGUUUAAUUCGAAGCAACGCGAAGAACCUUACCAGGUCCUGACAUCCUCUGACAACCCUAGAGAUAGGGCUUUCCCCUUCGGGGGACAGAGUGACAGGUGGUGCAUGGUUGUCGUCAGCUCGUGUCGUGAGAUGUUGGGUUAAGUCCCGCAACGAGCGCAACCCUUGAUCUUAGUUGCCAGCAUUCAGUUGGGCACUCUAAGGUGACUGCCGGUGACAAACCGGAGGAAGGUGGGGAUGACGUCAAAUCAUCAUGCCCCUUAUGACCUGGGCUACACACGUGCUACAAUGGAUGGUACAAAGGGCUGCAAACCUGCGAAGGUAAGCGAAUCCCAUAAAGCCAUUCUCAGUUCGGAUUGC
rnacentral:rRNA from 1 species